UGCCAGGAAAAGAAACAAACAAAAACCC
rnacentral:piRNA from 1 species